AACCUCCGCAAUGUGAGAAAUCGCGACGGGGGGAUCCCAAGUGCCAUUCUUAACGGGAUGGCUUUUCAUUAGUGUAAAAAGCUUUUGGAAUAAGAGCUGGGCAAGACCGGUGCCAGCCGCCGCGGUAACACCGGCAGCUCUAGUGGUAGCAAUUUUUAUUGGGCCUAAAGCGUCCGUAGCCGGUUUAAUAAGUCUCUGGUGAAAUCCUGUAGCUUAACUGUGGGAAUUGCUGGAGAUACUAUUAGACUUGAGACCGGGAGAGGUUAGAGGUACUCCCAGGGUAGAGGUGAAAUUCUGUAAUCCUGGGAGGACCGCCUGUUGCGAAGGCGUCUAACUGGAACGGUUCUGACGGUGAGGGACGAAAGUUAGGGGCGCGAACCGGAUUAGAUACCCGGGUAGUCCUAACUGUAAACGAUGCGGACUUGGUGUUGGGGUGGCUUUGAGCUGCUCCAGUGCCGAAGGGAGCUGUUAAGUCCGCCGCCUGGGAAGUACGGUCGCAAGACUGAAACUUAAAAGGAUU
rnacentral:rRNA from 1 species